AACGCACAUUGCGCCCGCCAGUAUUCUGGCGGGCAUGCCUGUUCGAGCGUCAUUUCAACCAUCAAGCCCCGGGCUUGUGUUGGGGACCUGCGGCUGCCCGCAGGCCCUGAAAACCAGUGGCGGGCUCGCUGUCACCCCGAGCGUAGUAGCAUACACCUCGCUUAGGGCGUGCCGCGGGCGCCGGCCGUGAAACCCCCCAUUUACCAAAGGUUGACCUCGGAUCAGGUAGGAAGACCCGCUGAACUUAA
rnacentral:misc_RNA from 1 species